rnacentral:rRNA from 1 species
GUAGGUGGCAAGCGUUGUCCGGAAUUAUUGGGCGUAAAGCGCGCGCAGGCGGGUCCUUUAAGUCUGAUGUGAAAGCCCACGGGCUCAACCGUGGAGGGUCAUUGGAAACUGGGGGACUUGAGUACAGAAGAGGAAAGCGGAAUUCCAAGUGUAGCGGUGAAAUGCGUAGAGAUUUGGAGGAACACCAGUGGCGAAGGCGGCUUUCUGGUCUGCAACUGACGCUGAGGCGCGAAAGCGUGGGGAGCAAACAGGAUUAGAUACCCUGGUAGUCCACGCCGUAAACGAUGAGUGCUAAGUGUUAGGGGGUUUCCGCCCCUUAGUGCUGCAGCUAACGCAUUAAGCACUCCGCCUGGGGAGUACGGCCGCAAGGCUG